UACGUAGGGGGCAAGCGUUAUCCGGAUUUACUGGGUGUAAAGGGAGCGUAGACGGCAGCGCAAGUCUGAAGUGAAAUGCCGGGGCUUAACCCCGGAACUGCUUUGGAAACUGUGCAGCUAGAGUGCAGGAGAGGUAAGUGGAAUUCCUAGUGUAGCGGUGAAAUGCGUAGAUACUAGGAGGAACACCAGUGGCGAAGGCGGCUUACUGGACUGUAACUGACGUUGAGGCUCGAAAGCGUGGGGAGCAAACAGG
rnacentral:rRNA from 1 species